rnacentral:rRNA from 1 species
UACGUAGGGUGCGAGCGUUGUCCGGAAUUACUGGCGUAAAGAGCUCGUAGGUGGUUUGUCACGUCGUCUGUGAAAUUCCGGGGCUUAACCUCGGGCGUGCAGGCGAUACGGGCAAUACUUGAGUGCUGUAGGGGAGACUGGAAUUCCUGGUGUAGCGGUGAAACGCGCAGAUAUCAGGAGGAACACCAAUGGCGAAGGCAGGUCUCUGGGCAGUUACUGACGCUGAGGAGCGAAAGCAUGGGUAGCGAACAGGAUUAGAUACCCGGGUA